rnacentral:rRNA from 1 species
GACGAACGCUGGCGGCGUGCUUAACACAUGCAAGUCGAACGGAAAGGCCCUGCUUUUGUGGGGUGCUCGAGUGGCGAACGGGUGAGUAACACGUGAGUAACCUGCCCUUGACUUUGGGAUAACUUCAGGAAACUGGGGCUAAUACCGGAUAGGAGCUCCUGCUGCAUGGUGGGGGUUGGAAAGUUUCGGCGGUUGGGGAUGGACUCGCGGCUUAUCAGCUUGUUGGUGGGGUAGUGGCUUACCAAGGCUUUGACGGGUAGCCGGCCUGAGAGGGUGACCGGCCACAUGGGGACUGAGGUACGGCCCAGACUCCUACGGGAGGCAGCGGUGGGGAGUAUUGCACAAUGGGCGGAAGCCUGAUGCAGCAACGCCGCGUGCGGGAUGACGGCCUUCGGGUUGUAAACCGCUUUCGCCGGUGACGAAGCGUGAGUGACGGUAAUGGGUAAAGAAGCACCGGCUAACUACGUG